rnacentral:sRNA from 1 species
UCAGAAGGCUGGAAACUGAAGUCAUUCUAUUUAUGACAGUUCAAUUAAAGUUCAAGCUUCUCUACUUCAGAUAUGGCCUAGAAAAAUCUGCUGUCUCUUGUGGCAAGAGUAAGUUUAGUUUCCAUGCCAACUCAGUCAUGGCCUUU